UUUAAGCGCGGCCAUGAGUUUUCAUGUCUAACUUUAAUCAUCUUUAUUAUUUGAAUUUUUUUAUGAUUAGUAUUUUUAUUGUUAUUACGUGAUAAAAUAUUAAUAGUAUUUUAUGCGUGACUUAUAUUUUUUAAAAAACUUUUUAAGAAAAUCAAAUAAGAUGUGUGAUUAAAAUUGAACACAUAAACUCAUGGCUACACUUAAA
rfam:Oryza glumipatula chromosome 9, whole genome shotgun sequence.